AAAUUUUUAAAUGCUCACCGCGCUAUCUCCCAGGUAAUUCAUGAAUGAAAGGCUACAUAAAGGCACGAGCCUUGUGAUUAAAAAAAAAACUAUGUAAACAUAUAAUACGUCAUAGUACUGUUGAGUGUGUAUCUUAACGAUAAUACCUUGAGGUUAUGCUCAAUCGGCUUAUUCGCCACGACGUUAGUGCAACAUAACAAUCCGAAAACCGACAAAUGUGACCAUGGAACCGUUGAGGAUAUUUGACGACUUUAGGCUUGAUGAUUUAACCGAAACUUGGAUUUCCUCGGUAUGGGACAACGCAUUUUUAACCUUUGCAGAAUUGCCUGAGAAUUACAUGGAACUCAUAAAAAGCGAAGAUAUGAAUGUCUUGCUGACAGAGUCUACAAUUGUGGUCAAAAGAUGGAUAACAGAAUACGAAAAUACCUCACAAGCUGAUUCACAAUGGAAAGAAGUUUCCUGGCAGACUCUGAUAUCGCUUAACAUAAACCCCCGCAGUUUACUUCCAGUUUUAGGCUAUAUAAUAAAAAGUGGGCAGUCUUUUGACGCUGAUGAAGACGCAAGACAGUCCUGUCUGAAAUCCGCCAGUCUUUACUUCACACUGUUAUCUGUACCAGCAAGUAACGCGUUUCAGGUAUUUCACCCAAAUUUGUAUCACUUAGCUUUGAAUACUUUCAAACUAGCUGAUCAUUUGGUAGAACGAUCGAAAAAAUUAAACAGAAAUAUUGACUUGGAAGACUUGUACAACACAGAGGACGAUGAAGAUUAUGUGCUAUUAGUUUCAGAAAAAUCAACUCUCAUUAAAGGACUCAACAGCCUUAUGUUUAAUGUUAUUAUUAUGCUAAAAGAAUUCUACCUACGAGACUAUCCACGAUCUCUAGAAAUUACAGUGCACCUGCUUCUUCAGGUUGGAAAAUUGUCAAGAGAAGUGGUAACAUUUGAUAACUCCUCGCGAGAAAUUGAGGCAUCAAUAAACUCACUUUCCUACAAUGCUUAUACUGCCUUGAAUGGACUAUGCAAAAAAAAACAUGGUUGUAUUGACACAACUAUCAAACUAAUAGCAAAAUUCCUACUGGCCAAUUUAGUGUCGAAUCAGGAUGAACUGCAACCCAAGGAAUUGUUUGUGGUUAGAGAAUCAAUGAUAAACUUCCUGGAAAAAUUGCUGAAAGUUCACAAAGUCGAGGCUCGAAUCGGGAUCUCGACUCUGAUACAACAUUUGAUGACAAAAUGCCCAGACCGAGCUGAGGGCAGGAUGAAGCAGGCAUUAGUGAUACUGAGGCUGAUUAACUCCUGUGAUCAAGAAAUGUACAUCAACGCUAUAGACGAUCUCAUUGCUUUAACACAUUAUGAUAAAGUGGGCUUGAGAAUUUUCGCUCAAGAAAUCAUAGGGCAACUCUUGACUGAGAAUAAUUCUACCCAUUUUCUUACUGAUGAGUCUAACUCUAUGAAUCUCCAAGUUCGGAAAUUACUUCUGGCUACUGUGUUGAGCAGAUGUGUCGACUCGUCAAGCCUAGUGAGGGGAAAAGCUAUGGCCACCCUUGCAGACUGCACUAAUCUUCAAAACAUUUCGAUUUCAAGAAUGAUAAGGGACAUUUUCGAAAGUCCUUUCCCAGAUAAGCCCUUGCCAAAUAUCAAGACACUACAGCAGGCUAUCCCAGAGAAUAUUGAUCCCCUUCCAGGGUCCAAUACCAUCAUUUCCAUGCUCAUUUCUAGGGUAGAUGAUGAGAGAGCUCUUGUACGUCGCAGUGCGCUGCAAACGCUUGGAAACUUGGUCCAUUACUCCGAUGGCCUUCUAAAUAUUUUAAUACCGACUUUGGGAUUGCAUUGCAGAGAUCCUGCAAUAGUUGUAAGGCGGUAUUCUAUACAAGUUUUUACGCAGCUUGUGGAGAAAUUUCCAUCAGAUCCCUUGUUGACUCAGAAGUGGGUAAAACAUGUCUUACCCCAGAUUUUUGACGUUGAGGUCAAAGUACAAGAGAAGGUUCUCGAAUCUCUGCAGCAAUUAGUUGUAAACAACAUCAAACAAUGGGACGCUAACGAUUCCAGCUUUGUCGCAAAUUUACCAUGGCUGAUUUUAGAACAAAUUACUGAACAGAAAAUGCGUAAACACUUGGCCAAAGCCUGUGCAGUAUGGGUGAAGACAGAUGUGGUCUUGAGACCCCAAUUGUUGAUGAUAAAAUCGCAUCUUGGAACCAAAAAUGACAUUCCUGCUUGGGUUUUUCUAUCAGCUAUUGCAAAGUACAAGGAGCUGCCAGACAUGAAUCAUCAUUUUGAUAAGUACAGAGACAUCCUAUGUCAGGAUACUUUUCAAGCAAAUUUGAUAGUAGAGGUGCUCAGAAAUUCAUGGCAAAAUCUAGACAGGAAAUUCUUAGAGGAUCUUCAAUCAGACUUAUUCCAGAACCUCUGCAAGUUCCAAGUAACUUUUAGCUUGAUUAGUGUAUGUUGUGACCUGCUUGUAGAUGUAACAAAAUAUCUGUAUCCCGAAAACGGAGAUCAACGUUUGACGCUGAGUGCCCAAAAUUUGAUGAAGCUAUGUGAAGAACAACUGGAAAGUAUAAUGGAUAACGAAGAGGACUUAGAAGAAAACUUGCCGAUCUACUUGAAAGCGAUCUGCACCUUGGGCAAUGCUUCCCAUCUCUGUACAGAAUUAAUUUCUCCAUCUACACUGCGUACCCUUCAAGGACUGGUCAUAGAAUGGAAGGAUAUACCAGACCCUGUUCGGUAUCCAACAAAACUCCGGGCAGCCGCUGUUACACUUUUGGGGCAACAAGCUAUGAGGGAUAGGGAGAUUGCUCAAGAAAUAUUGCCAGCACUAGGCGAUUUAAUGCGCUCAAGUGCAGCCCCAAAUUCAAACAUUGCGUCUGCUAUAAAAGUUAACGCAGCUAAAGCAUUAGCUGACAUCUGUGUUAGGUUUACAGCCCUAGUAGAACCUUACUUGCCAGACAUGUGCGUCAGUAUGAACGAUCCAAAUCCCAUGAUAAGAGAAGCUAUUCUCAUACUCCUAAUUCAGCUGCUGCUUGAGGACUUCAUCAAAGUCAAAGGCCCUUUCUUUUUCAAUAUUUUGACCAUGCUCACCGAUACCGAUGAGAUGGUUCGUGACUUAACAGUCUUUUUGAUCAAUGAAAGACUACUCAUCAAAAAUAAAACUUUGAUAUUUAGGCAAUUUUUGGAGAGUAUCUUUCAUUACAAUAAUCAUCACUUACCGAGCAAGUUUUCUGCUAGCAGAUUCAACCACAGGGAUAUUCGGAAGUUAACAUUGCCUGGCACGCAUAAUAAGGAGAAACGUAAAAUGAUUUACAACUUUAUGCUCGAACAUCUCGAGCUUCCAGAGAAAUUAAAAAUCAUCAAAAGGCUCAUCACUGAAAUUAUAUCUGCAGUAACGAACGGAACCAUAGACAUACAAAAAGAUGAGGGACUGUCAGUGCUAAUGGAUUGCUUGUACAUUUUGUCAAGCGAAGAAUUGCAACCUGCAUCUUGUAAUAAACGCACAGAAGAAGAAUGUCAGAACGAAAGUAUUAUUACAGAAAAUCCCUUAGCUAAUAAUGCUGCCACAGGUAUAAUCAAUGAAAUGAAAAAGCAGAGGAUAGAAAUCUUAGUCCCAAGUUUGGUAAAGCUUAAGAAAAAACUAGCCAAGACCUCGUCGCCUUUUGUAAAAUAUGUUGCAAGGUAUUACCUUGAUAUUGUCAACAAAUAUAAGCAGGAACAACUUGAAAGCAUAUUCAACGAGGAUCCACGGUUAGAAACAGAGAUCCAAAGCGAUCAGAGGAAAUAUGGAACAGAAUCUGGCAGUGAAGAAGAAUGUGAUAAAGAACCUUCGGAAACACCAAUUUCCUCUCCAUCGAAUCUGGCAUUGACAUGCCAAGAGCGACUGCCUAGAAUUGUUUUACGCCGAUUAUCAUCCCUUACAUAUCCUGGUAUCAACAGCUGGAGAAGUCCUACACAUUCAUCAAGAUUUGAAGCAUCAUCAACACGGUUCGAAUGUUCAAGUCUUGAAACUCCAAAAAAGUUUACGGAUAACUCAAAAGUAUCAAGGAAACGAAAAGCUGCCCGAAACCUUUGUUCCCAAACAUCUAGUGACGGCAGUCAAUCCCCAAGGAUUGAUAGCAACGAAGCUGAACUUACAGGAUUUGGAAAUGAUUUAGAUUAGGUUUUCUCUGAACACGAGAAGCUGUCUCGGAGAUUACCUGCGUCCUAGUAUCCAGUUCAGCUUGGAUUUCUGUGAAACUUAAUGUUUAGCAAUCAACUCCUACCUACCGACCCAUCGGAGGCACAUGAUUUCACCGCAUCUCAUCGCCGGUAAGCCCGCUGACAACGAGUGAUAAAAGCUCGAGUAGUAAAACAUCAUUACGCAACUCGUGCAACAAAACGUUACGGUAUAUCUAAUAUACACGUAUUUAUAUUCUCUCAUUUUUUAUCUAUGGCAAUUAUUAUUACGCAUGUAAUGACCGGCAGCGAUAAUUAUAAACAACUCUCUGACUGCUUCAUGGUUGAUGCGCGUAAGUGAGGCUUUGCGAAUCGAGGUACUACGAUUAUAAUUAGGUGUACAGGAAAGCUUUUAUAAUGCUCGUGUAAUUAAACCAAAUUGGAUAUCAUCAAGGUCCACUUCUGAUCAGCUGUCCGUUGCAAAAUUCUACAACGUCGAAUAAUAUUUUCCUUCAAUACGGGUGAAAGAAGUUCGUAGUUGUUUUAAAAAUUUCAAGCACCAACAGUAUACGUAUGAGGUAAACCGCAGAAGGUGGCUGUGCACCAGCAAAUCAAGAUCGCGAGAAACUUAAGAACGCUGUUUCUGUAUCCGUUACGCAUACCUAUAUGCGACUUGAAGAAACCUGAGAAUCUAAGAUCAUGUACUCCUGCUAACACUUUCCAGUAGCAACUACAUUUCUGAGAGAGGAAAAGCUGUCUUGUUUCAUCAAGUGCUUUCAUAAUCAAUCGAUUUUCCGGUCCCAAUUUCAUAUCCAUCCUCCGUGUUACGUGGAUUUGCCAAAAAAAGAGCUCAUCGCAAAAUCAUGAAAUAGUGUGAAUGUCGUUAAAACUGUCCAUCCCCUCUCCAAUGUCAGACAUCCGCUGGCAACGGAUGCGAAAAUAUAUUCGGAUCCUUGAAAUUCGGUGGAUCCAAGGUCGUGGCGUUCCGUAAGAAAUAUUACUGAUCUGCACCCUGUUGCAACAAUUCAGCAACUGCAUCAGCAUGUCCACCAGCGGCUGCCAAAAUCAAAGGGGUUGUACCAUCCUGAAAAUACGAAUUGUUUCGAAGCAAAAAUAAUUUUUUCACAAAGCUGAUGUAAACAAAAAUGUCUGUUUUUUUUUAAUUCCAGCUCACCAACCUUGUCUUUGCAGUCUACGUGAACUCUUCCAGAUUCCAAAAGUACUUGAAGACGUUUAGCGUCGCCUUUUGCCGCUGCAAGAUGCAACUCGACAUCCCAAGGGGACUCUUUCUGCGUCAAUAAAGAGAAGAGGUGAAAAAAGAAUGCAAUCGAAUAUGUACUGAGUUACCGAGGAGUUUCAAAAUGUUCGGCGAACGUAUGUUUAUCUGAUCUUGAAAAUCACUCCUGAUUUCCAACGGAAGCUGUAGGUGCAGCUGAAGCUACUAGGUAAUUGCGUAAGCCAGCGAAGCACGAGCUGCUAAUUAGUAAUUAGUAGCGGGUCAACGUUAAUUUCUAACAUCGUAUGAAAAGAUAACUCCAAGUAAAUGAAUCCUAGAUGUUUAGAUAAAUCAGUUUCGAUGGCACGAGCCAUUGCUGGCAACUAUAACAACGGGCUCUUAAUAAAAUCAAACCAAUAAAGUGGCUAGUAGAUGAGAAGCAACGCUAAAGGCUAACUACUGGACCCUGUCGCACAAAUAGGAGCAGUAGCCUCGUCAUUAUUACGGUUAACAGUAUUCUAGACAUUCUUUUUGUAAUCGUUCGAUGAGAGCAAAAUUGCCAAGAUGUUUUCAGAUUUGCAUCUUGGUGCUAAUUUAACGUUGCGGAGCCAACAGGUGACAAUAUCCACUUAUUAUUGGGUUGAGCCUUUAUAAGACCGGAUCAUUGGUUACUAUUUGUUAGAGACAAAAUCGUCUCGGAAGACUCAAUGAACGGGAUUUGAAAAUUUACCGAGGUCAUCAUGUUUCCUUUGGCAUUUAAUCUUUACGACGUGCUGAAUGGAGAUACAACAAAUUCGUCAAGGUCGAACAGUUUAUUUACAGUAGCCACAUUGUAUAAUGGUUUUCUAUACCGGAAUUGAGCAGAGCCCGAUUCGCAGGGUAAAUAUUUCAUUUUUCAAAAUCUAUUCUUUGUUUUAAUCUGGUACACACAUUAUGUAAUGUAAUAGGCGUGUCUCUCGAGACUCAAUUAUUUGCCGUUCGUGUUUGAAAAAAAAAGUAAUGAAAAAAUAUCACAUUACGUCGUAGACUCGCGCUAAUUAUGCACCGGUUACGGACAGAUAGCAAAAGAUGUAAGUGAUACUGAUCUCUGAAUAUAAUUCAUCUAUUUAUAGGAGUUACGAACUUAUCAAAUCUUUUUAUUAGAGUUAUUAUUUGAAUUAAAACCCACGCGUUCGCCUACUAUAAGUAGCUAAUUGUAAGUGUGAUAUUAUUCUAGAGAACAUUGAAUUAAUUUACCAAUUUCAAUUGUUAUGUAUAAAAUUCUACGAGCAUUAUGGACCAAAAAUGAUGUUUUGCUAUUCGCAUACAGUUAUUAUUAUAAUUGCGGUUUUACAGGACAAUACUAUAAUUAUGUAUAAUUGAUCGCUUUUAAAGGGGAUCGCGCGCAUAGCAUGAAAACACGCUUAACAGAUGAUCAUCGCGGCUUCUCUUUUUAAAGAUAAUGAAAUCUAGAAAUCUAUUAGAGUAUUAACUUAGAAUUAACUUACCUUCAUGGACAUGGCAGGAUAAGCGUUUUUAUUAAUAUUCCAAAAAUAACGUGCAUAUAAAUAUUAUGAAUGGCAAAAAUUAUGGAGAACUAGAAGAAAACCACUUCUUUCAUCAAUGAAAAUUAUAUUCUACAAACUCACUUCAGACCGAUUUUAUUUAAUUGUUUCCGUUUAUUUAUUUAUAAUUCAUAUCUUAAUCCCGUACAGUCCGCGCGAAUAAUUUAUAUAAUUUUCUCCAACGUGUU